GCCGGGCAUGGUGGUGCGUGCCUGUAAUCCCAGCUACUCAGGAGGCUGAGGCAGGAGAAUCACUUGAACCCGGGAGGUGGAGGUUGUAGUGAGCUGAGAGCGGAUCACUGCACUCCAGCCUGGGCAAUAAAGUGAGACUCUGUCUCAA
rnacentral:SRP_RNA from 2 species